UCCGGUUUGUCACCGGCAGUCUCCCUAGAGUGCCCUUGCGUAGCAACUAGGGACAAGGGUUGCGCUCGUUGCGGGACUUAACCCAACAUCUCACGACACGAGCUGACGACAGCCAUGCAGCACCUGUGUUCCGAUUCCCGAAGGCACCCCCGCAUCUCUGCAGGGUUCCGGACAUGUCAAGACCAGGUAAGGUUCUUCGCGUUGCAUCGAAUUAAACCACAUACUCCACCGCUUGUGCGGGCCCCCGUCAAUUCCUUUGAGUUUCAGUCUUGCGACCGUACUCCCCAGGCGGCGAACUUAACGCGUUAGCUUCGACACUGAGUGCCAAGUUGCACCCAACGUCCAGUUCGCAUCGUUUAGGGCGUGGACUAC
rnacentral:misc_RNA from 1 species